rnacentral:rRNA from 1 species
AACGAACGCUGGCGGCAUGCCUAACACAUGCAAGUCGAACGAGACCUUCGGGUCUAGUGGCGCACGGGUGCGUAACGCGGGGGAACCUGCCCUUAGGUUCGGAAUAACUCCCCGAAAGGGGUGCUAAUACCGGUUAAUCUCUUCGGACCAAAGAUUUAUCGCCUAUGGAUGGGCCCGCGUUGGAUUAGCUGGUUGGUAGGGUAAAAGCCUACCAAGGCGACGAUCCAUAGCUGGUCUGAGAGGAUGAUCAGACACACUGGGACUGAGACACGGCCCAGACUCGUGCGGGAGGCAGCAGUGGGGAAUAUUGGACAAUGGGCGAAAGACUGAUCAAGCCAUGCCGCGUGAGUGAUGAAGGCCUUAUGGUUGUAAAGCUCUUUUACCCGGGAUGAUAAUGACAGUACCGGGAGAAUAAGCCCCGGCUAACUCCGUG